UACUUAUGAGGUGAACUUUGUGGAAAGUGACAUUAAGUGGCCAUCAAGAUGGGAUGCGUAUUUGAAGAUGGAAGGUGCAAAGGUGCACUGGUUCUCUAUCCUUAACUCCCUUAUGGUGAUCACUUUCUUGGCUGGAAUUGUGCUUGUAAUCUUCUUGAGGACUGUCAGGCGGGAUCUUACAAGGUAUGAGGAACUUGACAAAGAGGCUCAAGCUCAGAUGAAUGAGGAGUUAUCCGGGUGGAAACUUGUGGUGAGUGAUGUUUUCAGGGCUCCAAGUAAUCCAGCACUUUUGUGUGCGAUGGUUGGAGAUGGGGUUCAAAUUCUAGGGAUGGGUGUUGUGACUAUCAUGUUUGCUGCCCUCGGAUUUAUGUCCCCAGCUUCUCGUGGAACAUUGAUUACUGGUAUGCUAUUCUUCUAUAUGAUUCUUGGUAUUGCAGCUGGUUAUGUUGCUGUUCGCCUCUGGAGGACAAUCUUCUGUGGCGAUCACAAGGGUUGGAUUUCAGUCUCAUGGAAAGCUGCUUGUUUCUUCCCUGGAAUUGCUUUUCUCAUUCUAACCACAUUGAACUUCCUGCUAUGGGGUAGUCACAGCACAGGGG
rnacentral:misc_RNA from 1 species